rnacentral:rRNA from 1 species
AGAGUUUGAUCCUGGCUCAGAACGAACGCUGGCGGCAGGCUUAACACAUGCAAGUCGAACGCGUGUAGCAAUACACGAGUGGCGCACGGGUGAGUAACGCGUGGAUAUCUGCCUUUUGGUUCGGAAUAACCCCGGGAAACUGGGGCUAAUACCGGAUGGUUCCUUCGGGAUAAAGAUUUAUCGCCAAAAGAUGAGUCCGCGUACGAUUAGCUAGUUGGUGAGGUAAUGGCUCACCAAGGCGACGAUCGUUAGCUGGUCUGAGAGGACGAUCAGCCACACUGGGACUGAGACACGGCCCAGACUCCUACGGGAGGCAGCAGUGGGGAAUAUUGGACAAUGGGGGCAACCCUGAUCCAGCCAUGCCGCGUGAGUGAUGAAGGCCUUCGGGUUGUAAAGCUCUUUUGGCGGGGACGAUGAUGACGGUACCCGCAGAAUAAGCCCCGGCUAACUUCGUGCCAGCAGCCGCGGUAAGACGAAGGGGGCUAGCGUUGUUCGGAAUUACUGGGCGUAAAGCGCGUGUAGGCGGUUGUUCAAGUCGGGUGUGAAAGCCUUGAGCUCAACUCAAGAAAUGCACUCGGUACUGGAUGACUAGAGGACCGGAGAGGAUAGUGGAAUUCCCAGUGUAGUGGUGAAAUACGUAGAGAUUGGGAAGAACACCAGUGGCGAAGGCGGCUAUCUGGACGGUUUCUGACGCUAAGACGCGAAAGCGUGGGGAGCAAACAGGAUUAGAUACCCUAGUAGUCC